rnacentral:lncRNA from 1 species
CCGGAACUGAUGCAUCAAAUAAUAUAAAACUGUCCUAAGCACUCCCUACCCCCCCAAACCGUCUACCAAACAUCUCUCAGAACUCAGACAUAAUGCCACCCUCCGCCGACCGCCGAAAAUCACCCACGGCGACGGCUGGCGGCCAAUCUUGCCCAAGUUUACACCAAGUCAUCUCCUCACUCCCCUCUUUCCAAAUCCCCGUUCACUUCCCCUCAAACCCGGCCUGAGCUCCUCAAAUAUCCAAUCGAAGCGUCGCCACAGUUUCUCCGGUUGCGGCGCCACCUCCAAAUGCACCUAAAAUAACACUCCAUGAGCUCCUUCCCUCCCUCAUUCCAAAUCCUCACUAAUUCUUCGAAUCCCCUCGAAUCUUAUCGAGUAUCGGAUCAAUGGUGAACCCUAAAAUCCAUUUCAGAUUCACCCUGAGGUUAGUCGAGUGUUGAGAUAAAAAUAACACCUAUUCAGUCUCAGAUUGAGUCAAGAUUUGAGAGUUUGAAGAUUCAUCGCUAUUGUCUGUCCGAUGCAUUUCUUUAGGUAUCUUUCUUUGUCUUUUGUUUUUCAGUUUCUUUUCUCUCCCACUGUUAUCUUAUGCUAUUUUCUUCUUUUCGUCCAUUUUAUCAAAAUCAUCUUUGCAUGUUUCUUCUCAGUUCAAUGUAAGAAUUAAUUGUUGUUUUCCCUUUUAGUUUAUUUGGAUUCGUCGUAUUAGUUUUAUUUUUUGUUUAAGCUGUGUGCUAUAUUGAGACCAUUUGGUCCAAAGAUUUCAAGGUCAACUGGACCCUUGGCCCGUCUAGUUGAUCUGCCCAUUUGAAUGUUUGAACUGGAUUCUUGGGGCCGAAGGGAGGGGGAAUCAACCCAAGUUUCAAAGGGAUUCACUGGGUCAAUAUGACCCAUGUAAUUUUCUGAAGGUAAUUUUCAGAGUCUUAGAGGGUAAUUUGGGGAAAUUGGGAGUAGGGAAUCUUUUGGUAACUACUUAGGAAGCUUCCUAGAAGCUGAAAAAUAGGUUUACUUGGCAAGCAAGUUAAUACUUUAGGGACCAAGUAGUAAAAAUAAAAAUUAAGAAAGGAUUGAAAGUGAAAAUCUGAUUCUUAGGGCUGCUCUAAGUGCCUUGCCUAUAAAGGUAUUCUUACUUGAGAAGAAAGGCAGAAAGGAAGAGAUAAAAUCUCAGAAAAAAAUCUCUGAAGGUUCUUGAAGCAACUACAGAUUUUGUUAGGAUUUUGGUUAUUCUGAAUGGUCCACUUAAAAUCUCUGUAGCUGUGACGGUUUUUUUUUCUGAUUCUGGAUUGAAGAUGAGUUGAGUUUUGGGUAUUUUUUAAAGAUGGUUUGGACUAUUGUAGGAAAAUACCGUGUCAUUGCUGAUUUGAGCUGAUUUCACUGUUCAGUUGGCUUUACUGGUGCUAAUUUCUGCUGCUACUUACUGCUACUAUUCUUAUUGCUGAACUUCACUCCUUUGUUUCCUUUAUUUCCAUGUAUUGUCCUUCCCUUGACAUAUGAAAUGAAGAAGCCGAGUGUUUGUUUGAAAUUGGAAAUACAGGAGCAUUAGUUUUCAGCACACGUUUUGUUUUCUACAUUUUUGGAAAUCAUCAAAUGUCCUAGUUAGUUUGGUUCUUAUUGUGAUUAAUGCAUUUCUGUUUCAGUUUGAGCUCAUUUGCAAUUUUAAACGAAAUCAUCUGCUUCAAAUUUUUAGUGAUUUGCAUGAAUCUUAAUGUUCAAAUUUGUAUAAAAGGACUCUAAAAGACUGUUAUAGUGUAAUGUAGGUCAGAAUGUUUAAGUUUUAGUGUUUGCUUACUAUCUGUUGAUUUCGACAUCAUUAGUAUGGGUUCUAUUUAAAGGGUGUAAUUUAGACUCUUAUUGUUUCUUAGAUUAACCUAUAGGAUUGACAUUUAUCAUUCACAUGUCUCAAGCAAAAUGCCUUAAAUAGCAUGAAACUGUAUGUUAAAAAUAGCUCUAAAAAAAUCUGAGUUAAGCAUUGUUACUUGGUGUUUGUUUAAUUCUGAGUUUCUAAAAGGCUUCUAUGUUCGUCCCUGUUGGAAUAGUUAAAUCAGGAGUUAAAUUAGAAAUUUAUGUGCAUGAUUCUUGGGACCAAUUUUAAUUCCAAUGCGCUUAUGUGAUGUUUGUGACCUUGCAGGGACUCGAUCUUUAGUCCCAACAUCAUUUACUCAUAUUUACAAGUUGGGUUUUCACUUGAGGCUUAGUUUAAGCCAUUAAAAUCAAUGAUUCCGCAUAAUGCAUAAGUGAUAAGCUCUUGAGCCCUAUCUUGAAAAUAUCCGGAAAUUGGAUUUUUGGCUAAAUGUCCCUUUCAAUUCAAUGUUUGCUAAUUAGUUAGUAGGUUCAGAAUUCUUUUAAAUAAGUAGAAGACCCCCAAUUUCCAUUUAGUUAGUCAUUUGUUUUUUUUUUUUAUAAAUGUAAAGUCGUGAGGUGUGCCAUAUUAAGCAAGAUAUAGUUAUGACCCUCAAAGUUUAGUUUGAGUUCUCGUUUAAAUUUGGAAUUGAGGUGCAACGUGCUAAAUAGAAUCCCAAAUGCGUGGCCCUCAUUUAACUAUUUCUUUAAAAUCAUUAGAAUUCGAGGCGCGUCAUUUAGCAAAUUUCCAUGGCCCCGCAAAGUUAAGAACGCGUAGUUGCUUUAGGCGCGUUAUUUUAAUAAUAUUACCUUCCUAAAUUCGGGUGCACAUUUCAUGUGACCCAAAUCCAAAUCUUAUAUCGUUAAAUAAAAUAUGUCUCGGACUGCGGCUGCAUUUCAUGUGGCGUGGUCCAAAGACGUGUUUUAGAUGACGUUAAAAUCUUCUUAAAAUUAAUUAAAGACGGUUAAUAAGUUUGAAAUUCACCAUAGAUAAAACAUGUAUUAAAAUAAUAUAAUAAGCCAAUUGUAAUAGUUUAAGCAACCGUGCUAGAACCACAGAAUCCGGGGGUGCCUAACACCUUUCCUCGGGUUAACAGAAUUUCUUAUCAAGAAAUUGCUGGUUCGUAGACUUCACAAGGAAAGUUGAAUUUUACUCGAUUUGAGAUUUAAAAUAAAUCGGUGACUUGGGACACCAAAAAAUAAACCUAUCCCAAGUGACGACUCUGAACAAAAGUAUAAAUAAGUAACCCCAUUUUGAAUAACGUCACUUAAAUUGGAAAAACUCCCUUAUACACUAUCCUUCGGGGUGGUGUAGUGAAAAAGGAGGUGUGACAUAUAUGGCGACUCUAUUGGGGAUCAUAACCUAGAACUUUGGUUCAGGGUUUAAGAAUUCGAUCUUAGAGUAGUUGUUAUGAUUGGCUUUAUUUAUUUGAUUUUCCUACAUGUUUGAGCCUAAUGCGCUAAAUGCUUUUACCGCUUUGAUAUUUGUGAACUGUAUAUAAACUGCUAUGAAACCCUUAUUCUCUCUGAGUCUUCUAAAUCAUCUGGGAAGUGUGCACUUCGUAUAACUUCUUUUCUGUUAGGGUAUUAUCACAAAUUUUAGAACGAGGUUCAGACAAGUUGCAAAGCUGGUGAAGCUUAUGUAUGCCUGGUACGCUGCCCCGCCCUCGGCUCGAGCUGUCCGAUCGGGUAAGCCAGGUCUAGUAAUCUAGGUCUAGAACAGUAAACUCAAGUUUUAAACCUAGUGUAACAAAACCUCAUACCAAAUCCCUAGUAGGAACAUUUGUUUGCAUCAAGUGCAUUUGACUUGGGAGACUCAACAUAGGGUUGGGUCUGUCUAGGACAGGUAAACCUACAAUGAAAAGACCAUCCUGAUGUAUCCUACCUACUAUUUGUGCAUUUAUUUGCUUCGAAUUUGCAUGUUGACCGGCAUGUGAAUAAUAAAAGAAAUUGGGAAAGAAAAUAACAGUGUGAGUGUUAAGAUAGAUAAUUAUCCGUUUUAAGAAAAACCAAUGUCCAAAAGGUACUGGAACUCUGUCGGAUUUUUGAAAAGAAAAUAAAAAAGAGGAAAACUUUGUUUUAAAAACUAGUUUUUUUUCUUAAAAAUUUGCCUGAACUACGCAAGUUUGAUUCUAACCGGAUAUGAGAUACGUAGGCAACCCCCGUUGGUCCAACUUUCCUUUUGCAAAAAUAGCCCAAAAACAACAAAAUUUAAUUUUUAUCACAAAUAAGCAGGGUGAUGUUAUUCUUGUCUAAAAUAAGCCGAAUGCCCCAAAAAUGGCGCUGGAAGGCUAAUUUUGCAAGAACAACCACCUUGGUCCUUUUUUAUUUUUAGCCAGUUAGCAGGAACAACCUUAAAAUCUUCUUUCCUGAAGUGCUGAAAGGCCACAUUUGCAAAACUGGGUUUUAUUUUUGAAUUAAAGUUUUGGAAAACGGUGUUACUUUUUUAUUAAAUCGCCUUAAUAAAUGUGCAGGAUGAUCACAAGUGAAAUUGAACCCUUUACAACCCUUAAAGAGAUCCCCUUACAGCUCCACAUGGGGUGGAAUGAUCUAGGAAAAGGCAGUAGAGAAACUAUGGUAAAGGUUUUGUGAGGUCUCGUCGGACUGUUGAACAUCAAGCCAAGGUUGGACGUAAUUGAAUCUUUAAUACCUUUUUGGGAUCUAACUCGCAAUGUGUUCCACUUUUCUAACUUUGAACUCACACCAACCCUAGAAGAAGUUGCGGUUCAUGCUAGUCUUAAUUGAAACCUUAGAAGUCGAUAUCCAGUGUCGCCAAGACCGGUAUCUCCCCAUAAAUUUUUGGACUUGCUGAGUAUUAGCCAAGAUAUUCAGAAUGGAUACUUAUCUUGAGGGGUAUUGCAAUUUCCAGUUUUUGUAUCAACCAACGGCAACCAUCAAGGUUUUGACACACAAAACACUGGUUUGACCGAUGCCGUAAUUAAAGACAAAUGGGGGGCAAGGCGGGAUUUGGCCUUUGCAGUAGCAUUCUUGGGUAUCAUAGUCUGUAUACGAGAAGGUGGUAAUAUAGAUAUGGGUCUCGUAGGAAUGGUCUAUGUUGUGAUCAAGAAAGCCAAUGGCACUGUGGUUCCCCUGAUCUUAUCUAAAAUCUACCGAGCCUUGACUAUCUGUCGGGAAGGGGGAAAGUUCUUCAAGGCUACAAUCUGUUACUACCACUGUAGAUACAUGAGCAUCUCUCUCAUCGGGUUGGGCAUGUGAAUUACGGCAUGACCGGUUUGAGUUGCAUUGAAGAAUUUAAAAGCCGAGUAGUGGGUAUUGAAAUCUUCGAGAGUACUGAAGCUUGGAUUGCACAUUUGAGCUCCUUGACCGUCGAUAAAAUUGAGUGGGCAUUUGGAUGACUUACUGUCACCGAAGUAGUGUACACGUCAGCUGAAGUGUGUUAUCUCCUCCUGAAGGGCAUCCGGAGCAUCCAACCAUAUGCUCCCAAUAGAGUUUUGCGCCAGUUGGGUAGAAUUCAAACCGUUCCUCACGACGAAGAUUUGAGUAAACAUGUCAUUGAGUUGGGGGCAAAAAGCAAUAUUUCCCGAGGGAAGAAUUUGCCAGGUGUGGAAUGAAUGUAGGUUUUUUGAACCUAAGACUAUGGUGUGAGAUCUAGCUAGAGGCAAAGUGGACCCAAGUACGUUGUCUGGUUCGGUAAAAGAUUCUAGAUUCCUAAAAGACCUGCUAAGAGAGCCCACAUUCAAAAAUUCACCGACGACUCACAAGAGCAAUGGGACUGGCUGCCAAAGGAAGAAAGCUACAGGGCUAGAAUAGGAAUGUUGGAAGGACAAAUUAGGGAUCUCAAAUUUGUCAAAAGUAUCCAAGCUGUCGGAGAUGAAAGGGAAAAGAAAAAUCCAACUCAGGAAAACGAAGCCCUCAAGGCUCAAAUCCAGAAAUUGAGAAUAGCAGCCAGAACCCGGAAAGAAGUCGAACAGACGAAAGGCUUAUAAGCAGUCUGAGGAAGAAGGCACUCGAGAGUCAAGAUGAUCUAGAAAAAUCUGAAGCCAAUCUAGCAAAAGUCCGUGCUCAAUUGGCAAAGAAUGCAAAGGGGAGGACACAGUUUGUGCAACAAAUGAAAAAAAGUAUGAAGGGGCAAUCACCAACCCGAGAAGAAAGUUAACCACCGUUGAGAAUGAGGAAGCUAAGGAAGCCAAGGACUUUAAAGCCGACAUGGAACAUUGUUAUUCUCUAAUGUCUCGGAUGGAGGAGGAAACACAAUAGUCGAAAACCAAAACCUUCAUGACGUUCAUGUACUAGAAGCAAGAAAUCAGCAAAUCGGGCAUCUACAUCAGGAAAAUGGUAGGAUUUGAGAAAGGAAUAGAGCUAUUGCCGGCUACAUUGUCGCAAAAUGCCAAGCAUGUGAGGAUAUAAUCUGAACCACCUUCUUCGGUGUAGUGAUGACAUUCGUCCGCCAGAUAAUGAGUGACUUGGAGCGGCGACAAGGGGAUCUCGCACAUAGGCCCGUGGCAAGGUUGAAUGAUGCCCUGCGGGCCCCGGGAGUUGAAGCUUUAAUGUUUUCAUGAUUUUUCAUUUAUCGACUAUAUAUUUUGGUCAGUUUGUAGUUUUCAUUCCAAGAAAUGAGUAGUUUGAAAUCUUUUGCAAUAGAAGUUUUAUUAAUGAAAAAUCAAAAAUUUCCAAAAAUUGUUUCUUUACUUUUGGCACUUAUCUUUCUUGAACUACAAAAUGAUCUGAUUCACGCGGUGUCGUUAUAUGUAGGAAAUUCUCGUUGGAUCCGGUCAUAAUUUUGUGAAUAACUCCAAUAAGAAAAAGAAAUGAGAGAAAAAAAAGAAUGAGAGAAGAAAAACAAGCAAAGAAACCAAAGAGGAAAAGAAAAAGAAAGAUGAAAAGGAAAGAACGGAAGUGGGAAGAGUGAAAUGGAAGGAAUAAGUAAAGCAGGGAUGAAGCAUGCAAUCACUGCAAAAUAUGUAGAAACACAUUUUACUGUAUAGGUGCAUCACACCCCUAACGUGCGAUUACCUUUGUGUUAUUUGUUUCAAACUAACUGUUUGCUGAUGUUACUCCAAACCCAGGUUUUUAUAGAAUGGUGGUUGGUUUUUGUGUAACCUAGCUUCGCCCAUACUUUACAAGACUGAAAGGGAGCAUCGAAAUGUCUUCAUAAAUGACUCUUCCAACCCUCAACCAAAGUGCUCCUCUUAUGGUCUUCGUGACAUAGCAUAUUGUCUGAUCUUCAGCAGGNNNNNNNNNNNNNNNNNNNNNNNNNNNNNNNNNNNNNNNNNNNNNNNNNNNNNNNNNNNNNNNNNNNNNNNNNNNNNNNNNNNNNNNNNNNNNNNNNNNNNNNNNNNNNNNNNNNNNNNNNNNNNNNNNNNNNNNNNNNNNNNNNNNNNNNNNNNNNNNNNNNNNNNNNNNNNNNNNNNNNNNNNNNNNNNNNNNNNNNNNNNNNNNNNNNNNNNNNNNNNNNNNNNNNNNNNNNNNNNNNNNNNNNNNNNNNNNNNNNNNNNNNNNNNNNNNNNNNNNNNNNNNNNNNNNNNNNNNNNNNNNNNNNNNNNNNNNNNNNNNNNNNNNNNNNNNUUGGCGUUAUUUUGACUGAGCUCUUGCUCACGCAUUUUUGCUCUACUUCAUUCUUGUUCAAUUCCUCUCGGUAAGUGAAGCUCCUCCACCCGCCGCCUUCAAUAAGCCCGCUUUCACAAAUUCCCGUCUUUAACCAGGGCAACAAAAGUGGAGCAUACGACACAAUUCCCAUCAUGGAUGAUAGUCCCAUCUCAGGCAUCCCAACUUCAGAAUCGGCACCUGCCGAAGAAAAUAGAAUCCUGCGUGUUCGGGUUAUGGAAAUGUGGGAUGCUUGGUAAAAUGAAAGAGAGCCGCCAAGCACAAUCCCAAGGUUCCCCGAACUUUUUCCUAGAGCAAGCGGUUCCUCCACCAUCCUUAUCAGUCACCCAAACACAACGCUAGUACACCCAACUAUCUAAGCUCAUUUUGUGGGAACACCUUCUGAGGUUCGGCCCCAACAAUGUCUAUGUACGUGCUUUCGAUGGUAUCAAAAGGCACACAAUUGGAGAGAUUGAUUUGAUUCUGACCAUCAGCCCAGUAACCUUCUAGGUUUUGGACAUGUACACCUCUUACAAAUUUCUUUUGGAGAGACCAUGGAUUCAUGCAACAGAGGCUGUACCUUCUACUAUUCACCAUAUGGUGAAGUUCGAGCAUGAGGAUCAAGAGAUUGUGGUCCACAGUGAAGAUGCACAAUUAAUAUAUCGGGACCUGUCAGUCCUAUGUCUUGAAGCAAGGGAGGGGAGUGAGCACAUAGUCUAUCAGGCCUUUGAAAAUAUGGUCGCAGAUCCGUGCGAAGAAGGAAAGCCUUGUCCCCAACCCUUCCUUUCAAAUACAUCAAUCAUGGUUAGUAAGGAAAUGAUCAGGCGUGGCUUCAAACCUUGGAAGGGGCUUGGAAAGUCAUUGCAAGGAAUAGCUGAACCUAUAACCCUGCCUGCCAGUGAAAAGUUCUUUGGGGUCAGCUUCAGACCCACACCAGCUGAUAUAAAGUGGGCGGAUGGUAGAAAGAAUGACAGAUGGGUCUUGCCGCAGCCAGUGCCGUAUCUAUGCAAAACAUUUAUCAAGCCCAAAUAUAGUGAAGAAGAAGAGGGUGAGGCUUUUACAACUGAAGUGAUUGAUGAGAUAUGUGGGGAAAUGAGGAAAAUAUUAUAUGAAACCCACAUGGUCCGGAUAGGGGAAGGACCAAGCACCGCUGAGGUGUUGUACAUAGGACUUGAGGCAAAACUGUAAAACCCGAAGGCUACGCCAUUCCCAAUCAGUCGGGAGUCACGUUAGACUUGUCUUGCCACCUUUUCUACAUCACGAGUUAUCCCAAAGUUUAAUUCAGAUGUUUUUCUUUAGUUUCAUGUCUUUUAGUUUCCAAUGUAAACCCUGUUAUCUUCCAAAUUCAAUGUAAUGAAAUCAACAUUUCAUCGUCCAUCUUUCUUUAUUUCUUCUGAUUUUUGUUAUUUUUCUUCUUCUUUCAGUCAUAAUAAUGCAGCUUUAAAUAACAUGACAUGCUUUCGGACUUCAUGCUCAGAUCCAAACACGCCGUCUAACUGUGAAAUAAUGAACCUAGAGCCGAAAUACAAUAAAGAAGAGGCUUUUAGGGAAAUAAAUCAAGAACUAGAACAUUGUGAGAAUAAACCUAAGCCGAACUUAGAUGACACUGAGCUGGUUAACUUGGUAGUUCUCAAGGAAUCAAGGAAACCAAAAUAAGCAUUCACACAGGUGAAAAAAGUCGGGAUGCAUUAAUCCAACUCCUGUUUGAGUUCAAAGACGUGUUUUCUUGGUCAUAUGAUGACAUGCCAGGACUGAGCGUCGAUUUGGUAUUCAUAAGUUGCCAACUUACCGUGAUUACCCCAUAUACAGCAAAAGCAAAGAAAAUUUAAAAUUGAUGUUAGUGACAAGAUCAAAGAAGAAGUCACAAAAUAGUUGAAAGCAGGGGUGAUCCGAGUGGUCCGGUAUACCAUAUGGCUAGCCAAUGUAGUCCCAUUGCCGAAGAAGAACAGGAAGACCUAAGUGUGUGUGGAUUACAAAGAUAUAAACAAGGCAAGUCCUAAAGAUAACUUCCCUCUGCCUAACAUCCACAUCCUUGUUGAUAACUGCGCCAAACAUGAGAUACAAGUGGAUUAUUACACAUGAUAUCACCAGGUGUUGAUGGAUGAAGAAGACGCAAAGAAAAUUGCCUUCACCACACCUUGGGGUACAUACUAUUAUAGACUCAUGCCAUUUGGUUUGAUGAAUGCUGAGGCGACAUAUAUGAGGGCCAUGACUGCCAUUUUCCAUGACACGAUGGACCAAGAAAUAGAGGUGUAUGUGGACGAUGUUAUCAUUAAGUCCAAAACCCAGGAUGACCAUGUUCGAGAUCUAAGGAUAUUCUUUGAGCGGUUGCGCAAAUAUGAUUUGAAGCUGAACCCAGCCAAAUGUGUGUUUGGAGUCCCAUCAGGCAAACUUCUAGGCUUUAUUGAGUUAGAUCCAAAAAAGAUAAAAUCUAUUCGAGAUUAGCUUCAUCCGAGAACCAAGAAAGAUGCGAUGAGCUUGUUGGGGGCAGAUUGAACUAUAUCAGCUGGUUUAUUGCUUAGUUGACAUCCACGUGUGAACCCAUACUCAAAUUGCUGAAGAAAGACGCGAAUCAAGUGGAUGGAUGAAUGUUAUGAAGCUUUUGAUAAAAUCAAAGAGUAUUUGUUCAAUCUACCAGUCUUGGUCCCACCUGAACUAGGGAGACCUUUGUUCUUGACCUGACAGUCUUGAAAAACUCUUUUGGCGGUGUCCUUGGGCAACAUGAUAUGAUUGGAAAGAUAGAGCAGGCAAUAUACUAAUUGAGCAAGAAGUUUACCAGCUAUGAAGCUAAGUAUACUUUGCUGGAGAGAACCUGUUGUACUUUAACUUGUCGCCCAGAAUUUGAGACAUUAUUUUCAAGCCUACACCACAUACCUCAUAACCAUGUUGGAUUCUUUGAAAUACAUAAUCCAGAAACCAAUGCCAACGGGAAGGCUAGCAAAGUGGCAGAUCCUGCUCACUGAAUUUGACAUAGUUUACAUCACUCGCACAUUAAUGAAAGCCCAAGCCUUGACAGAUCAUCUAGCUGAAAACCAGGUUGAUGAUGAAUACCAACCUUUGAACUCUUACUUCCCAGAUGAAGAGGUAAACUCAGUUGAGGCAAUAUCUGAGGAUGCUACUGCUUGGAAGAUGCUCUUUGAUGGAGCUGUAAACACAAAAGAUGUGGGAAUUGGGGUAGUCUUGAUCUCACCUACCGGCCAGCAUUACCCAGCCACAACCCGGCUUCGGUAUUUCUGCACAAACAACACUGCCGAGUAUGAAGCUUGCAUCAUGGGUAUGAACAUGGAACUCGACCAAGACGUCGAAGAGUUGUUGAUCAUGGGAGACUCAUAUCUGAUUAUCCGUCAAGCUCAGGGAGAAUAGAAAACCCGAGAUGUCAAACCCAUUCCUUACAAACAGCAUGUGGAAGACCUUAGCAAGAAAUUCAAGUCAAUAGAGCUCAGGUACAUCCCUCGUUGUCAUAAUGAAUUGGCUGAUGCAGUUGCUACCUUAGCGUCAAUACUGCCGUACCCAGGCUAUGCUCACAUAGACCCCUUGGAAAUCCAAAUCCAGGAAAGGCAUGGAUAUGGUAAUACAGUUGUAGAAGAACCAAGUACCCAGCCAUGGUACCAUGACAUCAAAAGAUUUCUGAAAAUGCAAGAAUACCCCGAGCAAGCUAGUGGGACAAAAAGAGAACCAUUAGACGACACACGAGUGGCUUCUAUUUGAGCGAUGAUGUCUUGUACAAAAGAACUCGUGACCUCAAUUUGUUAAGAUGUGUUGACACAGAAGAGGCUGGAAGAAUUGUGCAUGAAAUGCACACAUGAGUAUGCGGACCCCACAUGAAUGGGUAAGUUUUAGCAAAGAAAAUCUUUCGAGCGGGCUACUACUGGAUAACAGUGGAAAAAGACUGUUUCAACUUUGUCCGAAAGUGUCAUCAAUGUUAGGUACACAGUAAUUUGAUUCAUGCACCACCCAUAGAAGUGCAUCCCAUGUCAGUGCCUUGGCCAUUUGUUGCCUGGGGCAUGGACGUCACUGCGCUAAGCCUCAAAUGGGCACAGAUUCAUACUGGUCUCCAUUGACUACUUCACAAAAUGGGUUGAAGCCAUCACUCUCAAAUCUGCCACUAAGAAAGCUAUGGUAGAUUUCGUGCACUCCAAUUUUAUUUGUUGAUCUGGUAUUCCUGCAAUGUUCAUCACAGAUAAUGUUGCACACCUGAAUAGUCGUCUGAUGGAGGAGAUAUGCGAACAAUUCAAGAUAACGCAUAUGAACUCUACUCCCUAUCGUCUUAAAUCUAAUGGUGCUGUCGAAGCAGCAAAUAAGAACAUCAAGAAGAUUUUGAGAAAGAUGAUUCAGAGCUCCAGGCAGUAGCAUGAAAAGUUGCCUUUUGUCUUACUGGGAUAUCGCACCACGGUGUGCACAUUGAUAGGAGUGACACCAUACCUCUUGGUUUAUGGCACUAAGGCCAUGAUACCCAUAGAAGUUGAAAUCCUUUCUCCCCGAAUCAUCGUUGAAGAUGAAAUUGAUGAUAGUGAAUGGGUCAAGACCGGUCUGGAACAGUUGACACUGAUUUAUGAAAAGUGAAUGGCUGCAGUCUGCCAUGGGCAAUUAUAUCAACAAAGAAUGGCUUGUGCUUACAACAAGAAAGUGCAGCCCAGAAAUUUCGAAGUGGGGCAACUCGUGUUAAGGUGCAUUCUUCCCCAUCAUCAGGAAGCGAUAGGAAAAUUUUCUCCUAAUUGGAAAGGUCCUUAUAUCAUUAGAAAGAUAUUGCCAAGAGGGGCAUUGUACUUGGGAGAAGUUGAAUGAAAUGAUCCUGAAGUUGCUGUGAAUGCGGACAUAGUAAAAAGGUACUAUGUUUAGGCUUUUUACAGCAAUGGCAUUGUCUGAAUUGGAUGACGAAGGCUUUCAUUCCUACUACCCAAACACUAUAAACCUUUUGCAAACCCUUUGAGCCGGUUACUCUUCUUUGGCUACCCCCUUUGCAACCCGAAAGUGAUUGAAAAAAAAGAAUUAAAAAAAGAAGAAAAAUUAAAAGAAAAGAAAAGCAAAAGAAAAAGAGAGAGAGAAAAUAAAGCAAAACAGAAAAACAAAAGAAAAAACUAAAACAAUUUUUUUUCCUGAACUGUGUUCGACUUUAUUCCGAAAGGAUACAUAAGCAGCCUCUCUCUGGGUUUAGUCACAACGCAACAAAAAUCCAAUUUCCCCACAAGUGAAACUGGGUAGAUGAUAUAAUAGUUCGACGUUGAUCCCGCCGGACGGUUCCAAAGUUGUAAUGCGGUCCAAUUUUCUUUUUACCCAAACCUUUUCCAAGUCCUUCUGAUCGAUCGGCAAAAGGCGUCAUAAUUAUAGAACACAAUUUCUUGGAUUUGAUACAAUCAAAAUGAGAGAAAUAAAAUGAGAGAGUCUUAUUAGUGAAAACCUAUGGGUACCAUAACGCGACGACGAGCAGAGAAAUUGAAAAUGAGAGAGCCUGGUCAGUGAAAACUUGUAAAAAGCACUAUUAGGUGACGAUGAGAAGAGAAAUGAGAGAGGUCGACCGGCAAAAACCUGCACAGGGCGCCCUCGAUCGAAAAAAGAUACCUGUCACCACCAUUGGAGUCUUGGCAAGGAUUCUCGAUUUGGAAAUGUUGCUCACAAUGAGUUUAUGAGAAGUUGGAAAGUUGGGAAGGUCGGGCAUCCAGUCUUAGAAGCAUGUCAUGUCUAUUCAAGCCUGCAUGCACCCUAGAUAAGUCCUUCUUUCUUCCUCGAAAGGAACACUUCUCCAAAUUCAUUUUCUUGCCUCUUGUUUACCUUUCCUUUAAUCCCUUUCGGUCUAACUCCAUUAUCGAAACUAAUACAAAGAAAAGGUGGCAAGAUUGGUUUUACAGGGUUCUGCCUGACAAAAGCCAAAGAAGAUACCCAGCCUCAGCGGGCGUAUCAAGCCGAUCCGGACUGGCCAUGAUGGUUGAUGCUCUGGAAUCAAAGUUAUUGAAAAAGAAAAGAAAGCCAAAAGGCAAAAUCCCUAAAGCGACAUAAAGUGAAAGAACUAAAACCCCACGUGGGAGAGCCGUCAUGAAAUCUUGAGGAGUUGAGUUCCUCAGUUUGAAAGAAAUAUCAAACUUUAUAAAAUCCAGCAAGCAGCGGAUCUUCUCAACAAAGGGUUGGGCCGAGAUCAAAUGAUUGAGACAAUCAAGGCCACAAAACCAACCACCAUUUCAAACUAAUAAAUGUUCUUUGUUUGAAAUUGAAACAGGUACUGCCAAAGCAACCGUG